rnacentral:rRNA from 1 species
UACUCGAGUGGCGAACGGGUGAGUAACACGUGGGUGAUCUGCCCUGCACUCUGGGAUAAGCCUGGGAAACUGGGGCUAAUACCGGAUAGGACCAUGCUUUAGUGUGUGUGGUGGAAAGUUUUUUCGGUGUAGGAUGAGCCCGCGGCCUAUCAGCUUGUUGGUGGGGUAAUGGCCUACCAAGGCGGCGACGGGUAGCCGGACUGAGAGGUUGGUCGGCCACAUUGGGACUGAGAUACGGCCCAG